GAUGAACGCUAGCUACAGGCUUAACACAUGCAAGUCGAGGGGCAGCAUGGUCUUAGCUUGCUAAGGCCGAUGGCGACCGGCGCACGGGUGAGUAACACGUAUCCAACCUGCCGUCUACUCUUGGACAGCCUUCUGAAAGGAAGAUUAAUACAAGAUGGCAUCAUGAGUCCGCAUGUUCACAUGAUUAAAGGUAUUCCGGUAGACGAUGGGGAUGCGUUCCAUUAGAUAGUAGGCGGGGUAACGGCCCACCUAGUCUUCGAUGGAUAGGGGUUCUGAGAGGAAGGUCCCCCACAUUGGAACUGAGACACGGUCCAAACUCCUACGGGAGGCAGCAGUGAGGAGUAUUGGUCAAUGGACGAGAGUCUGAACCAGCCAAGUAGCGUGAAGGAUGACUGCCCUAUGGGUUGUAAACUUCUUUUAUACGGGAAUAAAGUGAGGCAUGUGUGCCUUUUGUAUGUACCGUAUGAAUAAGGAUCGGCUAACUCCGU
rnacentral:rRNA from 1 species